rnacentral:rRNA from 1 species
CAACCUACCUAUCAGAGGGGAAUAACCCGGCGAAAGUCGGACUAAUACCGCAUAAAACAGGGGCACCGCAUGGUGAUAUUUGUUAAAGAGAUUCGCUGAUAGAUGGGCAUGCGUUCCAUUANGUAGUUGGUGAGGUAACGGCUCACCAAGCCGACGAUGGAUAGGGGAACUGAGAGGUUGGUCCCCCACACUGGUACUGAGACACGGACCAGACUCCUACGGGAGGCAGCAGUGAGGAAUAUUGGUCAAUGGGCGAGAGCCUGAACCAGCCAAGUCGCGUGAAGGAAGAAGGAUCUAUGGUUCGUAAACUUCUUUUGCAGGGGAAUAAAGUGCAGGACGUGUCCUGUUUUGUAUGUACCCUGAGAAUAAGGAUCGGCUAACUCCGUGCCAGCAGCCGCGGUAAUACGGAGGAUCCGAGCGUUAUCCGGAUUUAUUGGGUUUAAAGGGUGCGUAGGUGGUUUGAUAAGUCAGCGGUGAAAGUUUGCAGCUUAACUGUAAAAAUGCCGUUGAAACUGUCGGACUUGAGUGUAAAUGAGGUAGGCGGAAUGCGUGGUGUAGCGGUGAAAUGCAUAGAUAUCACGAAGAACUCCGAUUG